rnacentral:rRNA from 1 species
GGGACCGCACAAGCGGUGGAUGAUGUGGUUUAAUUCGAUGCAACGCGAAAACCUUACCCACCUUUGACAUGUACGGAAUCCUUUAGAGAUAGAGGAGUGCUCGAAAGAGAACCGUAACACAGGUGCUGCAUGGCUGUCGUCAGCUCGUGUCGUGAGAUGUUGGGUUAAGUCCCGCAACGAGCGCAACCCUUGUCAUUAGUUGCUACAUUCAGUUGGGCACUCUAAUGAGACUGCCGGUGACAAACCGGAGGAAGGUGGGGAUGACGUCAAGUCCUCAUGGCCCUUAUAGGUGGGGCUACACACGUCAUACAAUGGAUGGUACAAAGGGUCGCCAACCCGCGAGGGGGAGCCAAUCCCAUAAAGCCAUUCGUAGUCCGGAUCGCAGUCUGCAACUCGACUGCGUGAAGUCGGAAUCGCUAGUAAUCGUGGAUCAGAAUGUCACGGUGAAUACGUUCCCGGGUCUU